UACGGAGGAUCCAAGCGUUAUCCGGAAUCAUUGGGUUAAAGGGUCCGUAGGCGGUCUUAUAAGUCAGUGGUGAAAUCUCCCCGCUCAACGGGGAAACGGCCAUUGAUACUGUAGGACUUGAAUUAUUAGGAAGUAACUAGAAUAUGUAGUGUAGCGGUGAAAUGCUUAGAGAUUACGAUGGAAUACCAAUUGCGAAGGCAGUUGACUACUAAUGGAUUGACGCUGAUGGACGAAAGCGUGGGUAGCGAACAGG
rnacentral:rRNA from 1 species